ensembl:misc_RNA Metazoa_SRP Metazoan signal recognition particle RNA
GCCGGGCGUGGUGGCGCGCGCCUGUAAUCCCCCAGCUACUCAGGAGGCUGAGGCAGGAGACUCGCUUGAGCCCAGGAGGUGGAGGUUGCAGUGAGCCGAGAUCACACUACUGCACAACAGCCUGGGCAACAGAGCGAGACUCUGUCUCAA